CGUACGGCUGCACAAAUCGAGCGAAAAAGGACUCUGGGAUUACGUUUCACGUGUUUCCUAAGGACCCAAAUGUGAGAAGCACGUGGGAGUGGACUGUUUGGCGGAAAGGCUGGAAGCCAAAAGACGGCGAUCACAUAUGCUCGAGGCACUUCACGCCGGGUUGUUUCAACCGGACCGGGCAGACAGACGAUACGGCUGCGACCGGGAAGUUGUCCGACCGCGUUUGACGUAUUUCCAAACCACCUGCAAAAGCCGCUGAAAAGAAAGCGACCACCACUGAGGCCCCGGAGUACUCCAGCUGACAAAGGUAUUGAAGUUGACAAAGUUGUUAAAGAUGUGGCAGUUGCAUCACCUACAAAGCAGCAUUACAAAGAAAUGUUUCAUGUUUCUUGCAAGAGGAGAUAGCACUGUUCAAGAAGAUCUAAAUUCUGCAGCAGAGCAAGCGUAGAUUGACCAAAUAGAACGAGACUGCUCAAGAGAUAAUAAGGGAUAUCAAGGACCAAAAGCUCAUGUCGGAGGAGGCCAUGGAGGUGUUCACUACAGCCUUUUCCCCUAAUAUACAGCAACUCCUCAACAGAGCAGGAAAAACCAGAAAGGCACGUACCCAUCUGAGAAGCGUGCAUUUGGGUUACCGCUGCACUUCUAUUCUCCGUCAGCUUAUGAGUAUGUACGCUCGAAGUUUAAUGGAGCACUGCCAGCAAAGUACACUAUACGAGAAUGGUACAGUUCCAUCAACGGGGAUCCUGGCUUCACAGCUGAGUCACUGUCCUUAAAAAAGCUUGUCCAAUGCCGCACGGAGACUCCGUAUGCUGUACUUUCAUUGUCGGUGACGUGUCAAUCAGAAAACAUGUUGAGCUGUGGGCGACAGAGUGGGACUGGAAUGCAUGAUGACAGUCUGCCUGAAGCCAAGAAUGUAUGUGUGUAUAUCGUCGUUGGCUUGAACUUGCGACUUAAGUUGCCAGUUGGGUAAUUUUUAUUGAUUCAUUGACAGAAGCAGAGAGCGCCGAGUUAACGAAACAGUGUAUUGAAAAGGUAACGGUAAUAGGUGUUGAGGUUGUUUCACUUACAUUUGAUGGCGCUGCAAAUAAACAUCACCAUGGCGAAGGGACCGAACUCUACAUAAGCAUCAGACUCCAUGACAUGACGAAAGAAAUACGCAGGGAAAUGAGUGCCGAAAAAGUGAGGUAUGCUCUUACGAGGCUGAUUAUCUUUAAAGACCUUCAACGGUGACUCUUCAACGCAGACUCUUCAACGGUGUUCAUGCUUGCAAGGAGAAUGCCAAUAGAAACAAAAUAAAGUUGAUUGCA